AGUUUUGUGCAGCAGCAGUAUCAUAGCUAAUGAGGUUUAUGCAACACAUGAUUUUUGCUAUUUAAAAACUUCUUCUAAAAGUAAACAUAUUAUUACCUUUCUGGGUUAUUCAUAAUUGCUCAAGGAGCCUCAGAAGUAAGGUA